GAAUCUGGAAGAGACAUGAACUGAGUCUUGAGCUUGGACAAACUGGACAAAAACAGUUUGAGGGGGAUGGCUGUUCCAUUCAAGGACAAACGAUCUUUUAGUGGAAAUGCUAAGAAUACAGGAACAUCUCCUGGGACGGCCCACAGAGAGACCCGGAUGAGGUGGACAAGCAUGUUCCUUUGUGCUAAGUCUGAAGUGGAAUGCUGCCAUCAAAUCCCUAAGCUGUGUCUGCAGGACUAUAAUGGUAUGAAGGAAGAGGAGAAAUACUUUGCAAGGCUCUUUGGCAGCUGAGGAAGAAAUUCUAAUGCCACAACAGAAGGAAAAUAAAUUUUAAGAUGGAAGAAAGUGACAAAAAUGAGUGUUCUUGUUCAACAGGAUAUUAAAUGGUGGAUCAUGCAGAUGUUAUGCAAGUACUAUACCACUGAGCUAUAUC